UACGGAGGGUGCAAGCGUUAUCCGGAUUCACUGGGUUUAAAGGGUGCGUAGGUGGGCAGGUAAGUCAGUGGUGAAAUCUCCGGGCUUAACCCGGAACUGCCGUUGAUACUAUCUGUCUUGAAUAUCGUGGAGGUAAGCGGAAUAUGUCAUGUAGCGGUGAAAUGCUUAGAUAUGACAUAGAACACCCAUUGCGAAGGCAGCUUACUACACGAUCAUUGACGCUGAGGCACGAAAGCGUGGGGAGCAAACAGG
rnacentral:rRNA from 1 species